CACGUAGGCGGCGAUGUAAGUCGGGUGUGAAAUCCCUCGGCCUAACCGAGGAACUGCGCCCGAAACUGCAUUGCUUGAGGAUCAAAGGGGUGCUCGGAAUUUCCGGUGGAGCGGUGAAAUGCGUUGAUAUCGGAAGGAACGUCGGCGGCGAAAGCGGAGCACUGGUUGAUUACUGACGCUGAGGUGCGAAAGCCAGGGGAGCAAACGGGAUUAGAUACCCCGGUAGUCCUGGCCGUAAACGAUGGGUACUAGGUAGGGGGGAACCAAACGCCUCCCUGCUGGAGUGAAUAUCUUAAGUACCCCGCUGGGAAGUACAAUCGCAAGGUUGAA
rnacentral:rRNA from 1 species